UGUUGGCCAGUUGCAUCGAGGCCACCUGAAGGAUCCCCACCCUGACAACCAAAUGCCGCGUAUGAGAAUUCUUGGGAGCGGUCGGGUACUGUCGUCUCUGGGUUCUAGGGUUUGCAGAGAUCGCAAGCCCCUGUACAGCAGCUCUGGGGGACAGGGCACAGACCUGGUCUGGACGGAUGUUGAGCAAAAAGCUUUUGAGAAGCUUAAACAGGCCGUUACUUCGGCCCCAGCCCUGCCAGACCCCACCAAACCGUUCCAGUUAUUCAUCACAGAGACUAGGGGUAGCCAAGUGGGUCUUAACCCAAACUUUGGGUCCUUGGAAAAGGCCCAUAGCCUAGUUUCCAAAAAGGUUAGACCCUGUGGCAGCCAGAUAGUGAAACUGCAUGAGAGCAGUAGCCGCUACAGCCUUGUUGGUUAAGGAAGCAGCCAGAUGACUCUAGGACAGCACUUGCAGGUCAUAAGGGGACAUCUGGUAGAGGCUCUACUCAGAAGCCCCCUGGACCUCAAAUGCUUGAAUCACUCAGUUCCAGAUCCUUCUAUUAGAUCCCCCUCGUGUCCAGUUUUUAAAAACUGCUAUCUUAAACCUGGCUGCUUUGUUGCCGGAUGAUGACCUACAGGAGCCUCUCCAUGAGUGUUUAGAAAUUCUAGAGACUCCAACUAACUUGAGAGCUGACCUGACAGAUGAGCCCCUGCCAGAGGCAGCUCUGGAACUCUUCACAGACAGAAGUAGUUUCCUCGAUCAGGGGACCCGAAGGGCCAGAGCAGCAGUGACCACCCAGACAGAGGUCAUCUGGGCGCAAGCCCUCAACCAAGGUAUGUCGGCACAGCUGGCAAAAUUAAUUGCGUUAACCCAAGCCUAAGAUGAGCAAAAGGUAAAUCUUUCAAUAUAUACACUGACAGUAGCUAUGCCUUUGCCACUGCCCAUGUCCCCAGGGCUCUAUACCAAGAGCGUGGUCUCCUCACUUCAGGACAAAAGGACAUUAAAAACAAAGAAGAGAUCCAAGCACUCCUAGAGGCCAUAUGGCUACCAAAGCAGGUUGCAAUCAUCCACAGGUUGCAUCCCAACUCCUGUAAGACAUCAAAAGGAUGACACCCCAAUCAUCCUUGGAAAUACUUUGGAGGACCAGACUGCCCGAAAAGCUGCCUUAAGACCAGCGAGGCCCUUAGAAAUCUUACUGGUGCUACCAUAUCGACAGCUCCUCCACGACCCUAAAUAUAACAGCCAAGAAAAAUCCGUAAAGGAAAAAUUAAACUGUACUGAGGGGCCACAAGGCUGGUUAAUCCUCCCAGAUAAUAGAAGGCUACUUCCCGAGGUACUAGGAAGCUCCCUUAUUAAUCAAGUACAUCAAGGGACUCAUCUGGGAGCCACCAAAAUGUCCCAGCUAAUAUCCAGACAUUCGUAUGUCCUGUACCUUGACCAGCUAACAAACUCAGAACUUUCUAAAUGCAUAACCUGUAUUAGAAUCAAUGGGGGACUCAAGACUGUUGGCUCUCUUUAAGUCCUGCACCACCUUACUAUGUUGGAUUAGCUACUAACCAGACAAUUGGAUCCAACAGUGGAACGACCACCGACCUCACCCUCUCCGGAAAUGACCAGAACCUGCAGAAAAGCUUAACCAAGCCUUGUUUGACUCUGGGGGACUUACAAGGAAGAGGAACCUGUUUCUGCUAUGGCCUUCCUGAGGGAGGUCAAUCCCCCUAUCUGGACAAUUGCGACCAGACGCCAGCUUCCCUUAAAGGCCCCUGAAGGUUACUCAGCUUCACCCGGGAAAGGAUUCAGACGGUCAAACUUAACGGGGUUAAGCACCCUGUAUCGGCGACUACCCAGAUCUCCCGAAGAGGCUGAGUCAAGGACUUGAUUCUUAGCUAAGACCAGUGGGGAAUGUUAGAGAUCACCCUAACCCGGGGAAAAGAAAAGAAAAAGAACAAUAAGGACAUUGUUCGCAGUCUGCCAACUGCCAUGUCUGCUUCUGUACACGCCUGCUUGCUAAAUCUGUUUCGCAGGACUCUGCAGCAGGUAAUCACUCCCCUUUUUACUGCGAAAGUUCUUGCUUCUGUAAAACCGCUUGCUCCCCGCUCCCCUUGUGCUGUGAUUGUUUCUGAUGAGGUUUGAAAUGACCAAAGAACUCUAAAACCGAUAGGUUCCUGCCAAAAGUAGUGUGUGUGUGUAAAGAUACUGCUGGUUACUAUAAGGUGCUAGGACCUGUAACAGGCUGACUCAUAAAUGACAUACUUUGGCUCGCAGAACUCUUAAGAACCCCAUGCGCCGGCCCGGCGGCACGCUCUCUGAGUAGUUUCCACCACUCGGGAGGAGCCGUUUGGCCGAACUGAAAUAAACUGCAAUAAAGCUCCUGAAAAUUC